rnacentral:rRNA from 1 species
CCUACGGGGGGCAGCAGUGGGGGAUAUUGCACAAUGGGGGGAACCCUGAUGCAGCGACGCCGCGUGGGUGAAGGAGCGUUUCGGCGCGUAAAGCCCUAUCGGCAGGGAAGCAGAUGACGGUACCUGGCCAAGAAGCCCCGGCUAACUACGUGCCAGCAGCCGCGGUAAUACGUAGGGGGCAAGCGUUAUCCGGAUUUCCUGGGUGUAAAGGGGGCGCAGACGGCAAUGCAAGCCAGGAGUGAAAGCCCGGGGCCCAACCCCGGGACUGCUCUUGGAACUGCAUGGCUGGAGUACAGGAGGGGCAGGCGGAAUUCCUAGUGUAGCGGUGAAAUGCGUAGAUAUUAGGAGGAACACCGGUGGCGAAGGCGACCUGCUGGACUGUGACUGACGUUGAGGCCCGAAGGCGUGGGGAGCAAACAGGAUUAGAUACCCUAGUAGUC